rnacentral:lncRNA from 1 species
GUUGAUUUAAAAGUGUUUUAUAUAGUUUAGUGAAAUAUUUAUUACACAUUCUUUAUGUAAAUUACAAGAAAAAAAUACAAAAUAUUAGAUAAGUCACUAACUAUAGUAGUCUCCCCUUAUCUGAGGUUUCAUUCUCUGUGGUUUCAAACACUGGUGAUCAACCACACUCUGAAAAUAUUAAAUAUAAAACUCCAGAAAUAAUUCAUGAGUGUUAAAUUGCACCCAUUCUGAGCAAUGUGAUGAAAUCUCCCGUGUCCUGCUCCAUUUUGACCGGGAGAUGAACCACCUCUUUGCCCAGUAUAUCCAUACUCUGUGUGCUGCCCAUCCUGGUCAGUGGCCGUCUCAGUUACCAGAUCAACUGUCAUGGUGUCACAGUGCUUGUGUUCAAGUCACCCUUGCCUGACCUAAUAUGGCCCCAAAGUGCAAGAGUAACGAUGCUGGCAAUUUGGAUAUGCCAAACCAGGAGCCAUAAAGUGCUUUUUUUUAAGUGAAAAGGUAGAAGUUGUAGAAUUAAUAGGUGAAGAAAAAAAAUCCUAUGCUGAGGUUAUUAAGAUCUAUGAUAAGUUACUGUCAUUAAUCUCCUACUGUAGCUAACUUAUAAAUUAAACUUUAUUUUAGAUAUGUAUAGG